rnacentral:rRNA from 1 species
CCCUUAGAUGUUCUGGGCCGCACGCGCGCUACACUGAUGCAUUCAACGAGUUUACCUUGGCCGAGAGGCCUGGGCAAUCUUUUAAACCUGCAUCGUGAUAGGGAUAGAUUAUUGCAAUUAUUAAUCUUGAACGAGGAAUUCCUAGUAAACGCAAAUCAUCAAUUUGCGUUGAUUACGUCCCUGCCCUUUGUACACACCGCCCGUCGCACCCACCGAUUGAAUGGUCCGGUGAAGCCUCGGGAUUGUGGCCAGUUCACUUUAUUGGGAGUUGGCUGCGAGAACUUGUCUAAACCUUAUCAUUUAGAGGAAGGUGAAGUCGUAACA